rnacentral:rRNA from 1 species
AGGAAGGCGGGGAUGACGUCAAAUCAUCAUGCCCCUUAUGACCUGGGCUACACACGUACUACAAUGGGAGUUAAUAGACGGAAGCGAGAUCGCGAGAUGGAGCAAACCCGAGAAACACUCUCUCAGUUCGGAUCGUAGGCUGCAACUCGCCUACGUGAAGUCGGAAUCGCUAGUAAUCGCAGGUCAGCAUACUGCGGUGAAUACGUUCCCGGGCCUUGUACACACCGCCCGUCACACCACGAAAGUCGGAAGUGCCCAAAGCCGGUGGGGUAACCUUCGGGAGCCAGCCGUCUAAG